rnacentral:misc_RNA from 1 species
CCGAGUUUACAACUCCCAAACCCACUGUGAACAGUACCAAAUCGUUGCCUCGGCGGGGUACCGCCCCGGGCGUCCCCGGCCCGGACCCAGGCGCCCGCCGGAGGAACCAACCUAAACUCUACUUGAGUCCAUCGGGGUAUCUUCUUACAGCUGAGCAAAAUCAAAUAGAAUCA